rnacentral:rRNA from 2 species
GUGCCAGCAGCCGCGGUAAUACGUAGGGUGCAAGCGUUGUCCGGAAUUAUUGGGCGUAAAGAGCUCGUAGGCGGUGUGUCACGUCUGCCGUGAAAACCUGCGGCUUAACCGUGGGCGUGCGGUGGAUACGGGCAUCACUUGAGUUCGGUAGGGGAGACUGGAAUUCCUGGUGUAGCGGUGGAAUGCGCAGAUAUCAGGAGGAACACCGGUGGCGAAGGCGGGUCUCUGGGCCGAUACUGACGCUGAGGAGCGAAAGCGUGGGGAGCGAACAGGAUUAGAUACCCUGGUAGUCCACGCCGUAAACGUUGGGCGCUAGGUGUGGGGCGCUGUUCACGUGUCCCGUGCCGUAGCUAACGCAUUAAGCGCCCCGCCUGGGGAGUACGGCCG